rnacentral:lncRNA from 1 species
UUUUGUACAGAAGCUCCCAAGUGUAUCAAUCUGUCCCAUAGGUGCUGUCUUUUUUGGAUGUCUUUGCUUGCAUACUCCACUGUGAGCAGUGUUUGAAAGGUGGAUCCUGUUUUCUUAACUUCACAGUGUAUGAAUUAUUCAUCAAACAUCAAAAUUAUCACUUCACAACAUUGUUUCCAUAAUAGCCAUAUUCUGCCAUUUGGAUGUUCAUUGUAGUUACAGCAGCUACUCCAUCCUCCAUAGACAGUGUUUAAUAUUUUCUUUAUUUUGCCUUCCUUUACUCUAGUUUCUAGACACCCUAUGACCUCCACCUUAUGCUUCCUCAGAAAGAUGUUUAAGUCUUUCUGCUUAUGAGCCUUGUUCAGGCCCCUGACAUUCCAUGUGCGGAGUAUCAUUUAGGGGUGAAGCUGGAUGGGCCAGCGUCCCCAGGAUUAUCUACCAUCUGUAGAGGAUUGAAUCUGUUGCUUGAAAUCAAUGUGCAAGUUCCUGAUUGCUGUUCAAUCUUCUCCUUCUGUUUCCCUGUUCCUACUGCAUUUAGACAGUUUGUUUCCACUGUUUCAUUCAUUUCCUCAAUUGUAGGUAUCUGUUGAGUUGCCAUUUGUUUUGGUUUUAUUUUUGGAGUCCACCUCUUAGCAACUCUGAAUUUCAGUUUCAGCUGGACUGGUUUAUGCUUGCUACUAUCUUCCUUUGUGUUGUCUUCCUUAUACCAACAGUCAGCAGAAUUAUGCCCAAAUCUGAUACAGUUGUCACAGAAUUUUGGUUUCCAUUCAUAUUCUAUUUGUUGCACGUUAGGCUUGCUACUAUCUUCCUUUGUGUUCUCUUCCUUAUACCAACAGUCAACAGACCUAUGCCCAAAUCUGAUACAGUUUUCACAGAAUUUUUGUUUUCAUUCAUAUUCUGUUUGUUGCACAAUGAGGCCUUUGUUGGUCUGCAGUUCUAAGCUGUCUGGCAGUGGCUUGGAGAUGUCAGUUUCAAUCAACACUCUGGCAUAGGAUAUCUUCUCCAAAUCAGCAGUGUAUUAAUCAGUAUACAGAGGUUUUCCUACCACACUUGCCAGCUUAUUUAGUACUGCAUUGGACCAGAAAGCUAAUGGUAAAGCAGGGAAGUUGAUCCACAGUGGAACUACUGUAAUAUUUGCAGGAUCAAACUUGAAUUCCAUUUGCCAUUGUUGCAGUAUCAUUGGCUUGUUUCGGAAUGUGUAGGGUCCUGCUUGUAACACUCGAUUCUUAUCCUCCACAUUGUCAAAUCUAAAUAUAUAGUAUCCAUCAUCAUGAUACAUUAUUUGAGGCUGAUCGAC